rnacentral:rRNA from 1 species
UGGGGAAUUUUGGACAAUGGGCGAAAGCCUGAUCCAGCAAUGCCGCGUGUGUGAAGAAGGCCUUCGGGUUGUAAAGCACUUUUGUCCGGAAAGAAAUCCUUGGCUCUAAUACAGCCGGGGGAUGACGGUACCGGAAGAAUAAGCACCGGCUAACUACGUGCCAGCAGCCGCGGUAAUACGUAGGGUGCAAGCGUUAAUCGGAAUUACUGGGCGUAAAGCGUGCGCAGGCGGUUUGCUAAGACCGAUGUGAAAUCCCCGGGCUCAACCUGGGGAACUGCAUUGGUGACUGGCAGGCUAGAGUAUGGCAGAGGGGGGUAGAAUUCCACGUGUAGCAGUGAAAUGCGUAGAGAUGUGGAGGAAUACCGAUGGCGAAGGCAGCCCCCUGGGCCAAUACUGACGCUCAUGCACGAAAGCGUGGGGAGCAAACAGGAUUAGAUACCCUGGUAGUCCACGCCCUAAACGAUGUCAACUAGUUGUUGGGGAUUCAUUUCCUUAGUAACGUAGCUAACGCGUGAAGUUGACCGCCUGGGGAGUACGGUCGCAAGAUUAAACUCAAGGAAUUGACGGGGUCAUAGCUGUUUCCU